GGGCCCAUAGCUUAGGCUGGCUGGAGCACCCGGCUGAUAACCGGGAGGUCGUCGGUUCAAAUCCGACUGGGCCCA
rnacentral:tRNA from 1 species